UCAAAAUGAGGAAACGAUGACGAGUCAGACGAGUUUCUCGAUGCUGCAUAAUCUUUUUUUUUAUUCAUUCAUGCCAAAACUGAUU
rnacentral:ncRNA from 23 species